rnacentral:rRNA from 1 species
CCCUGCCAUUUGUACACACCGCCCGUCGCUCCUACCGAUGAGUGGUCCGGUGAACCUUUUGGACGGUGGCGCUCCUUGUGGGUGCCGCUGGAAAUCAAGUAAACCAAGCCACUUAGAGGAAGGAGAAG